CAAAAAGCAAAGAAACAGCAAUUUUAUCCACUGCCAAGUCUGACCGAUGUAACUUCCAGAAUUGUGUCCCUGGCUUAUGUUAAAUGUUAGAUAACUGCUUCUACAUGGAAGGAAACCAAAAUGAAAUGUGUCAAGAAGGAUUUCUUUCAAAAGGUUGCAUUCUUAAAAGGCAUUUCACUUUUCUUCAGUAGAUUCCAGUUCAAGAAUCCUUUUGUGUGUGGCCCAUUUAAGAAGUGGCAUGGCACUCCUUCACCUUCUUGCUGGGACCAUUCCCAAGGCAGGAUGUGGGCGAGUGUGACAGGGACAUUUCUCUGGGUGCUAAAGCUGCCCUGAGCAUCUUGGGGCAAUUUGUGGUGGACUUGAAAGUUAGACAAGAUGAAAUGUUCUGAUUUCCGCUGCAAGAGGGAAGAGGAGAUAGGGAAUUCAGCAGGGACACACAGGCAGAGGCAGGUCCUGUCUGAAGGAGAAGGACAAACUCAGCUUUGUGAUACAAAAGAUGAGUGAACUCCUGGCAAGAUCCAGUUUGUGGUGCAGGAGGACUGACUCUGGAUAUUCCUUUGCAGAGCACAAAUAAGAGCCUCCUGUCACCCCUCCUGUGACUUGCUUUCCAAAGCCAGAGUCUGGCCUCUGGAAGAAGAGGCUGAAUAAGCAUCUUAAACUAUAAAAUACAUCCUCACAUGAGGUGAAAUGAUAGGGUUGAGAAUUUCUGCACCUGCAUACUGCCAGUGUUUACCAGAAGCAAGAUCUGGGCCUUAUUAAAACAACUGGGAGAGGAGGUUUUUUCCCCAGCCUGGAAUUUUAUUAAUCAGCCAGAAUGGAAAUUCUUGCACAAACAGAGAACAAGCUUUCUAAAAUCUUUAGCCAUGCAUUUUCUAAUUUUUUUUUCCCAAUGGGCAUUUUAUAGCAAAAUAAUAGUUCAAAAUUCAGGUCCUUAAUUAACAAGUAAAGAACUGACCCAAUGCCAGCAGCAACUGAAUCACUAAUAUUUAAGGCCAUCUGUUGUACAAUUGUCAGAUAUUCAGAAUUUGACAUUUUACUCCCUUUAUGCAGAUAAUUUUCAUCUAGAUCUUGACACAGAGAAGCUAACAAUCUCAGUCCAGAUAUGCAACACUCAGAUAAAACAGAGGCACAUGUUGUACUUUGGUCUAUUUUAAGACUUGAUUUUUC
rnacentral:lncRNA from 1 species